CGCGCAGGCGGCUUGGCAAGUCGGGUGUGAAAUCCCGGGGCUCAACCCCGUGACUGCAUUCGAUACUGUCAGGCUAGAGGUAGGUAGGGGAGAUCGGAAUUCCUGGUGUAGCGGUGAAAUGCGCAGAUAUCAGGAGGAACACCGGUGGCGAAGGCGGAUCUCUGGGCCUUACCUGACGCUCAGGCGCGAAAGCUAGGGGAGCGAACA
rnacentral:rRNA from 1 species